rnacentral:rRNA from 1 species
CAGCUGAAGUAUCCUGCGCCCGGCGCUCCUGAUCUGGCCAAGAGAACCAAGGAGCUCCUGGAGCAGGCUGGGUUCGGGCCGGUGAGCGAGGACCACGGACGCGGGCUCGACCAUGGCGCGUGGGUGCCCCUGAUGUUCAUGUACCCGGAGGCUAACAUCCCGGUGUGCCAGCUCUCCGUGCAGACCCACCGCGACGGCACCUACCACUACACCCUGGGCAAGGCGCCGGCUCCCCUCGACGAGCCGGUGCCGCAGUGGGCCUCCGACUUCAACACCUGGCUCAGGGACUCGCUUCUCGCCGGGAGGUACGACGACGUGAACCGCUACGAGGAGAAGGCGCCGCACCCAUCGCCGGAGCAUUUCUACCCGGUGCACGUCGCGCUGGGCGCCGCCGGGGACGAGCCCAAGGCGGAGCUGAUCCACCAUAGCUGGGCCGAAGCCAACAUGUCAUACGCCUCGUACCAUUUCACCACGAAGGACUAG